rnacentral:misc_RNA from 1 species
UAUCCAUAACACCUGUGCACUGUUGGAUGCUUGCAUCCACUUUUAAACUAAACAUUAUUGUAACAAAUGUAGUCUUAUUAUAACAUAAUAAAACUUUCAACAACGGAUCUCUUGGCUCUCGCAUCGAUGAAGAACGCAGCGAAAUGCGAUAAGUAAUGUGAAUUGCAGAAUUCAGUGAAUCAUCGAAUCUUUGAACGCACCUUGCGCUCCUUGGUAUUCCGAGGAGCAUGCCUGUUUGAGUGUCAUGAAACCCUCAAACCCAAGUUUUGGAUUUCGGUCCAUGCUUGAGUUUGGAUUUGGAUGUUUGCCGGUGAUGAACCGACUCAUCUUAAAAGUAUUAGCUGGAUCUGUCUAUAUGACUGGUUUGACUUGGCAUAAUAAGUAUUUUGCUGAGGACAUCUUCGGAUGGCCAGGACCUAGACUAUUGUCUGCUAACUAAACCAUCACUUUAAGUGCAUCCUUGGAUGUUACUCAUUGUGUAACUUUGACAUCUGGCCUCAAAUCAGGUAGGACUACCCGCUGAACUUAAGCAUAUCAAUAAGCGGAGGAAAAGAAACUAACAAGGAUUCCCCUAGUAACGGGCGAGUGAAGCGGGAAGAGCUCAAAUUUGA